GCCUCGUUAGCUCACGGCUAACACUAAGUUAGCCAGGUGUGGCUGCCGCCCACCCGGCACGUUAUAAAUGCACUCAUUUAUAACACUCACAGCACAAGUGUGUGCCUCUGACCUCAGUGUCACCUGCAUACCUGCCCCCGGGCUUCUGCAGUUUAACAUAACGUUGUUAUGAAGAAUGAAAGUACAGGCGUGGUGAUCAGGUGUGUGUGAGAGCUCUGCACGGUCGGACUUGCAGCCUGGAGGAGGAGGAGGGUGAAGCUUCAUGGACAUAGUGAAGGACUCAGCGGGCUGUGGUUAACUGUAAAGGGUGGAGGCUUUUAUAAGGUGUAGAUGCAGAGGGCUUCACACGCGGAGCCUGAUGAAGAUAACAGGAAAUUCAGAAUUUUUGGAUUCACGCGUUCAGCAGCAGGUUUCCUGGUUUGAUCCCAGGAGGGAUCGUUUCAGUCUGGAGCAGCAGCGAGCGAAUUUUAUUCUCAGGUUUCUGCAGCAUCUCCGUGUGAUGGCGCAGGUACGAGUACAGGUGUGCUCUGAAACUCUGGAGACCUUUGAGCACAAAAUAUCUGGAAACCACAGCUGCGAAGACAGACUGUAAAACACCUGGAUAAACAAUCACCAUGGAGUGUGACAGGUAGCUGGAACCAGAACCUCCACAAUGUUAGUGUUUGUCCUGGGGAAAUGCGCCUGUCAGGUAAACUCAGCUCACACUUUCUACCUGGAGUUCAAACAUUGGCCGGUAAACACCUGACACCUCGUUUAAACAUCUCUCAGCCUGAUUGGAGGAAACCGUGAGGUCAGGACAGCGCUUAAGUCUGCACGGGAACAGCAGUGAGGUUUCUCCAGAGUCUGCUCCCUGACGCUCCCCACGACAAGCCACUCUGGGCGUCGGCCUUUGGUCACAUGUUGGCGUUUUAAAGAAGAAGAAACUCUGCGUUUACCUGAGGAAAACUGAGAUUUAACCUCGUCGAUGGUGCGCACAGCUAUCUGCUACUUUUUUGCUGCGUUAUUCUUUCUUUUUUGACCAACAUUUCUGCACAGGUAGGGUUGUAUUGCCUUGAGCAGGUAUUUUAGUAUUUUUGAUCUUCUAGUUUAGCCAAACUUCACCUGCAGCUCAAACGUCCCUGGUGGCAGGUGAGGCUUCAGCUUCUGCAGCAGUGAUCAAUAACAGUCAUUGACAGGUGAUCAGGUCCACGUGGAAACAUGCAGAGGGUCAGUCUGAGAACAAGCGUGUCUAUGAAAGUGUGAAAUAUCCAGCUUCUGUCCCAGCGCUGAACACCUCCCAAAACCUCCAUCCUGAUCCUCUCCACAGGUCUGUGCGGCCUCCUCCUGUCCUGUGGCGCCUCCUCCUGUCCUGUGGCGCCUCCUCCUGUCCUGUGGCGCCGCCUCCUGUGGCACCACCUCCUGUGCGGCCUCCUCCACACCGUCUGUUUCUGUGUGAAGUCUGAAGAACCACAGCGAACUGGGAUUAACGCUGUAAUCAGCUGAUCAUCGUGGAGUUUCCGAUGUUAACCAAACUGACUAAUCGCAGCGCUGUGAUGUCAUCAGUACACCAGAUCCUCAUAUUUAAGAAACCAUGAAGGUUCAUCUCUUGCUGUGAUGUCACAGCUGUCAUCACAGCGACCUGAUUGGUCAGUUUAUGGUUUGUGUCGUUGUGUCUUCAGGUCUGUCGGCACGCUCAGCUGCUCCUUCAGAGUUAAGCCGCUUUUUUUUUUUCUCUUUUGUGUAGUAAACCAACAUAGUUUUGCUGUUGUGAAUUAGAGUUAAGGUAUUCCUCCCAACUCUGGCACUAUAAAGACAAGACAUAGCAAUGUUACACUUAAGACAUAGCAUUAGGGACUGCUUUGGCCUUCCUUAUAACCCUAGCCACCAUCCUUAUUAUCCCAGUUAGCAUAGUCACAGUCGUUAGUAUAGACAGAGAAACAGAGAGCAACUUCUGGAGCUGAAAAGAAAUGCAUUGCCACUUAAGACUGGCUCCAGAAGAUGGCCAGCUCUAUAGACUAAAGGACUAAACUGCACAGAUUUAGGGCAGAUAUAAGCAUGUUUGCACUGUAGUAUGAUCAACAGGUCGAAUUUAGGUAUAAAUUCACCCUUUAAGUUAACCCAUUAAAUUAUCUUAAUGAUAUUUCAGUUCAUGUUAACACUGAUUAGCAGAUAUUUAUACCUGUGUUAAACCCAUAGUGUCUGUUUAUACAACCUGCUACUACCUAAGCAAAUUCACACUAGCUGCUAAGUUAGCGCUCUACUUUGUUGCAUGAAUAUUAGAUUUUACAACAAAAAACAAAAUUCUACAUUCAAAACAGGAUAAUGUAUAAGUGAGUAGAAUUAGCCUUUAUAUACAUUAAAUCCAAAUCCAAAAUCAGAACAUAGUAUAGCUUUGGCCAUAGAGUUAAGCCGCUCUUGUUUGCAUCACAACCGACGUAAACAAUGAACAAACCAGCAGUGAAACGUCCAAUCACAGCACAGAACCACGACCCGUCUCAGAGACUUGGGAUCGCUGUCUUAACCAAUGGGCGGGGCCUAAGUGCCGCACUUGAUGCUGAAGCUCAGUGUGACGGUCUUCAUGUGUUUUCCCGUUUAUUCACACGGUUCGUUUCUCACCGACCUGCAGGAACGUUCUGCUUCCAUCAGAGCGCCGCCUGGAGACCAGGCGCAGGUGGAGCAGUGUGGUGUUCUCUAAAUGUCAUGUUAAACAAAAGCAACACGGUCCUCCAAUUAGCUAAUAGGAAGCAGCUCCACCCUGAUGAUAUCAUAACUCAUGUUCAGAGCCGUUACAUCACAGUUAUCAGGAAGCAGAGCGGCGCCACACGGCGAGGCUGCCCUGCAGGUUUAGUGUUCACAAUCACAGCGACACACUCACAUACACACACCUGCUGAAUGACAUCACAAAUCUGUCCAGUAUGAGGUUAUUUUAAAUAUUUGUAAGCCUAAAACCUGACAAUAGUAAAAGGUUUUACAUCACUAACACUGAACAUGUAUGACGAGGCAUCCUCUACCGUGUCACACGUCAGAUUACCGUCACAUCAUAAUCAAUAACCUGAGCCGUCGCCUCUACGCCCUUCAGCUUCCUGUCACAUGACAUGUCAGCAGAGGAAAUGUCAGGCGCUGCAGCAGAGCGCCCCCUGCUGGAGUGAAUAAACGCCAGGGACCAAGUCUCAGUCCUUCAGACCACAGACUGUAAAUGAAUGAUGGAGCUGAACUGUGAGGUCAGAGGUUACCAUCUUAACCGCUUCCUGUCCUAAAACGCGUCUGGAAAAACUUCAGCGAGCUCACAGAUCAGCUGGCUUCUGUCCAAUCAGACUUCAGAGUCAGCCCCGGAUUAAACAGGACGCAGGUGUUACCUUUACAUCCAUCCUUUAUGUACAGUCUGAUUUUGGCCAGCAGAGCCGCAGUCAGGGAGGGGCAGAGACUAGGGCUGUUUGAUGUAACGAUAUAUAUCGGAUGACGAUAUAAGAACGUCUAUCGUUUCAU